rnacentral:lncRNA from 1 species
AUGGGAGUUUGGUAUGGACUCAAAUGUCUGGGGACAAGACUGCCCCCACUGGGGACUCCUUUACUACAAAGAAACCUCUUCUCCCCCUCCACAGCCCCACAUGCAGGUCCGGUAGGAGUCUCCAAAUCCCAUCUGUCUCCCUGCGCUGCAGUUGCCUUGCUUUACCUGCAGAGUUUGGCAUCCGGUAGCAAUGUCUCGAACCCCUGGAGUGUCAGGUGGUGGAAGAUAAACAGCUCAGAGCUGGACUCAGAACUUGGCAGAGUCCUGCUUUCAACUAUGUGCAGCCAGAAAACUCUGGAAAACUGAACUGUUUAUUAGGGUCAAACUUUG